rnacentral:lncRNA from 1 species
GGUGAUGAUGGUGACAAGCGCAGCAGCACCCAGCAGUCCCAGAAGAACCUUCCACGGUGUCUGCAAGCCGAGCAGAUCAAGUCCAAUUAGAGGGAAGCGUGUGGCCCCAGUUUCCGUAGGAGGGUCGGGGCUGCUCCAGAGGCAGCAGGAUUUGCAGGAAGGAAGACUGUACACAGAGAAUAAAUAACUUGGCCAAGCCAUUCAGCUAGGAAGUUGUAGAUCCUAAAUUAAGAGUUCAAGGUCUUAAUGGCUACUCUAUGCGGCCUCUCAUAGUCUUUUCAAGGGUUUUGGAGAAGAAUAAAAGAUCAGUUGCUUGUGAUACAUCAGUAUCCUCACUCACCCCCAACUCCAGAGGCUGAAACUAACUCUCCUCCUCCCUCUUCCAACUGCUGAGGAAGAUGAGUCAAUGGUGUUACUGGACCCUGUGAACUGAUGCUGUGAAGAGAGGCCAUUUAACACGGACUACGGGGAAUGGUGCCACAGGGGGCUCAGUGCUGCCCUUCACUCUCAGCAUUUUGCUCACUCAGCAUUGAUGACAGGAUGUCCCAAAAGUAACAAAAGAUGGGAGCCAGUCCUCUCAUAGCUGUUUCUUCAAUCAUCCCAUCAACAGCUCUUCAUUUAUUGAACUACCUUCCUUUUCCAAAGAGGUAAUGCUGAGAUCAGUCAGAAAGGCUUUCUGAGAAAACUGGCUUGGAUUUCUGGGUCUGUUGCAGUCAAUUCAAGAUGAACUGGCUUGUAUCAAUGAAGCGCUCAAUGCAGUUCACAAAACAGGCCUCAGCCCGACUGUCCAACUUUGGCCCAGGCUUGUCCAUGCACUUCUCCCAACAAAGUUCAGUCAUCUGGUGCACCAGCUGCUGGAAGCGCUGCUUUUGAGUCUCUACCUCAAUGAAAAUGCUGCAACUGCGGGUCCACUGCACCCAAACCCGCCGCAGAGGAAGAGCAGGAGGAAUCCAUCCCAGGACAACCAUGCUUGCAGAGACGAACUCCGCACCAACCUUCACGUGUCUCCACGACCUAGUUAAUCAAUUUAAAAUGAGGUCACUAGGGUGGGCCCCAAUCCAAUAUGACUGAUAACUUUAUAAAAAGGAGAGAUUUGGAUACAGAAAGAGACAGAGUGAAAACCAUGUGAAGAAACAUAGGAAAAGAUGGCAGCUACAAGCCAAGGAGAAGCUUGCAGUGUGUAUUCAUCUGUUCUCAUGCUGUUAAUAAAGACAUACCUGAGACUGGGUAAUUUAUAAAGGAAAGAAACUUAAUUGACUCACACUUCCACAUGCUGGGGAUGCCUCACAAUCACGCCUGAAGGCGAAUGAGGAGUAAAGUCAUGUCUUACAUGGUGGCA